GACGAACGCUGGCGGCGUGCCUAAUACAUGCAAGUAGAACGCUGAAGGAGGAGCUUGCUCUUCUGGAUGAGUUGCGAACGGGUGAGUAACGCGUAGGUAACCUGCCUGGUAGCGGGGGAUAACUAUUGGAAACGAUAGCUAAUACCGCAUAACAGUAGAUGUUGCAUGACAUUUACUUAAAAGGUGCAAUUGCAUCACUACCAGAUGGACCUGCGUUGUAUUAGCUAGUUGGUGGGGUAACGGCACACCAAGGCGACGAUACAUAGCCGACCUGAGAGGGUGAUCGGCCACACUGGGACUGAGACACGGCCCAGACUCCUACGGGAGGCAGCAGUAGGGAAUCUUCGGCAAUGGACGGAAGUCUGACCGAGCAACGCCGCGUGAGUGAAGAAGGUUGUCGGAUCGUAAAGCUCUGUUGUAAGAGAAGAACGAGUGUGAGAGUGGAAAGUUCACACUGUGACGGUAUCUUACCAGAAAGGGACGGCUAACUACGUG
rnacentral:rRNA from 1 species